rnacentral:rRNA from 1 species
UCCGGAGGGUGCAAGCGUUAUCCGGAUUCACUGGGGUUAAAGGGUGCGUAGGUGGGCAGUUAAGUCAGUGGUGAAAUCUCCGGGCUCAACCCGGAAACUGCCAUUGAUACUAUCUGUCUUGAAUAUCGUGGAGGUAAGCGGAAUAUGUCAUGUAGCGGUGAAAUGCUUAGAUAUGACAUAGAACACCAAUUGCGAAGGCAGCUUACUACCCGAAUAUUGACACUGAGGCACGAAAGCGUGGGGAUCAAACAGG